rnacentral:rRNA from 1 species
AUUGAACGCUGGCGGCAUGCCUUACACAUGCAAGUCGAACGGCAGCACGGGAGCAAUCCUGGUGGCGAGUGGCGAACGGGUGAGUAAUAUAUCGGAACGUGCCCAGUAGUGGGGGAUAACUGCUCGAAAGAGCAGCUAAUACCGCAUACGACCUUAGGGUGAAAGGGGGGGAUCGCAAGACCUCUCGCUAUUGGAGCGGCCGAUAGCAGAUUAGCUAGUUGGUGGGGUAAAGGCCUACCAAGGCAACGAUCUGUAGUUGGUCUGAGAGGACGACCAGCCACACUGGGAAUGAGACACGGCCCAGACUCCUACGGGAGGCAGCAGUGGGGAAUUUUGGACAAUGGGCGCAAGCCUGAUCCAGCAAUGCCGCGUGCAGGAAGAAGGCCUUCGGGUUGUAAACUGCUUUUGUCAGGGAAGAAAUCCUCUAGGUUAAUACCCUUGGGGGGAUGACGGUACCUGAAGAAUAAGCACCGGCUAACUACGUGCCAGCCGCCGCGGUAACAC